rnacentral:lncRNA from 1 species
UAAAAUAUACGCCUAGACCUAACGCCUAAUACACAGACGUAGGGAGCCGCUUUUCUUCUGGUUUUGACUAACCUAGAGACAAAAAUAAAAGAGGUGAUUUUCUCUAACUUUUAUGGGGAAUCAGCGGAUUUUGACAAGAUCAAACCCACCCCCCUGAUCGAUCAUCCUCUUCUAUAAAGAAGAAGUAGCCAUUUUCGAUGGUUGCUGCUGAACACCAAACGACCAGACCCCCAUGAGCUUCUUCUUCAUGAAGCUCUAAGACAAAACCUAGAUCUAGAAGACCUAUUCACCCCUUCCAGCCAUCUCUCUCUUUUUCUAUCUCACCCCAUCGCCGGCGACGGUUGCUGCUUUCCCGUCCCCGCCUUCUUCCCCCUCUACUAUCACUGUUCCGCCGGAGUCGCACCCCCGGAGUCGCACCCUCGAUGAUUAACGAACAAGAUGCUGCAAUUUUCUUAGUAUAGCAGCAUGUUUAUCAGUAAUGUUGCUAAGGUUUAAAGCUCCAAAACCCAGCAAAAGCAGUCAAAAAAACGUGCCCUCCUCAACCCGAGUCCCAACCUUUUUCCCGUUUCGCGAGAGUUUUCAAGAGGUCCUGCUUGAGGUCUUUUCGUUGAGUUCUAGCGUAUGUGUUGGUGAUUACAAAUAAGUUCUUGAAACUGUUGAGAUUUCGGGUAAACUCAGAGGCCGCCGGUGAAGUUCCGUCAACCGUUUCGACUGUGGUCUAGUCUUCCUUCUAAAGUUUGGUUGCUAAUUUUGGAUUUCCAUCUCGUCUGUUGGCUGUUUCGUGUAAGAUUUAAUUGGAAAUUCUUAUUAAUACAUCAGAGAGGAUCUUUGUUGCUCGAGGUCCAAUUCUAAACUCUUGUUCGUUCUUUAAUUUUCAAAUUGUAUUUUGGUCAGUGUUUAUUAUAAUAGUUGUUUGCCUUUGUGUUUGAUCUUGUCUUCUUUGAGGAAUUGAUGUUGCUCAUACUAAUGGCUGACCAUGUUAUUUAAUUAUGUGUCUAGUAAAGAAAUCCAUUAUCUGAAAGCAUCUUGAUUUUCAUGAUCUAUUAGUUUAGUUAAAAGCAACAAUCGAAUCGUGUGAGGGCUAAUGGAAAUUAUUUGAGGUUUGGGAUGUUGUUGGGUUACGAGAUUUGAUAAAAAAAACUUACUUGGAAUGUUUAACAGAAUUGUAUGCUUUUGGGCUUAGAAAAUUCUUCAACUCUCAUCUUUGUUUGUUUAAUUGUCCACCGUAGCUUGCUUUAGGCGCGAUUAUUAAAUAAAUCAUGGUGACUAUGGGUAGGGUUUCCGUGAUGUAGUUGUGAUUGCUAAAAUUCGGGUGUACAAUUCAUGUGACCCGGUUCCAAUUUCCAACAAUAUUAAAUAUUCAUGUGAUCCGGUUCCAAUUUCCAACAAUGUUAAAUAAAGCGAUGUCGUGAACCGCGGGUGCAUUUCAUGCAGCGUGGCUUACGAUGUGUUUUAAAUAACCUUGAUUUUUCCUAAAAAUACUAAAAGCGGUUUUAAAGUUAAAAAAUGCACAUAGGUUUAAAAAUAUUUUAAAAUCAGAUAAUUAGGCCAAUAAUAAUAGUUGAGCGACCGUGCUGGAACCACGGAACCCGGGAAUGCCUAACACCUUCUCCCUGGUUAACAGAAUUCCUUACUCGGAUUUCUGUGUUCGUGGACCAUAAUUAGAGUCAAAUUUUCCUCGAUUCGGGAUUCUAAACCGGUGACUUAGAACACCAUAAAUUAUCCCAAGUUGCGACUCUGAAUAAAUAAAUAAAUCCCAUUUCGAUUAUCACUUUAAUUGGAAAAAACUCUCUAUACCCUUUCCGGGAUAGUGAAAAGGAGGUGUGACUGCUCUGACGACUCUGCUGAGGACAAGAACCCAAAACUUCUGGUUCAGGGUUCAAGAAUUCGAGCUUAGAAUAAUUGUUAUAUUUGGCUUUAUUUAUUACUGGUUUUAUUUUCAUGUUUGAGCCUAAUGUGCUAAAUGUCAUUUUUACCGCUUUGAUAUCGUUGAACUAUAUAUAAAUUAUUACGAAUCCCUCCUCUCUCUGAGUCUUCUAAAUCAUCUGGGAAGGGUGUACUUAGUGUAGCUUCUCUUCUGUUAGAGUCAUAUCCCAAUUUUAGAAUGAGGUUCGGACAAGUUGCAAAGCCGGUGAAGCUUCUGUAUUCCCGGUACGCUGCCCCUCUCCCCCCAGCUCAAGCUGUCGACUCGGGUAAGCCAGGUCUAGAACAAAUAAACCCAGGUUUUUAAACCUUGUAUAACAUAGCCUCAUGCCGGAUUCCUAGUAGGAACGUUUGUUUGCAUCACAUGCAUUUGACUUUGGGGACGCAACACAGGGGUUGGGUCCGUUUAGGACAGGUGUACCCAAAAAUAAAAGACCAUCCUGAUGCAUCCUAAUGUGCUACAUGUUGCAUUUCUUCAAGGGUAAAAGGGUCAUUUGGCGGACCAAUGAUAUUUGAGGGCAAAUGAAAAGAGUAAAAAACAGAGGGUGAAGUAUGAAAAUAAAGCAAGUAGGGCCCAAUUAUAUUUUCUGUCACAUUUUUGUUAAGAAAAAAAGAACUUGAAAAAAUUCAAAAGAAGAUUUUUCACUUUUUCAUUAUUUUCCGAAAAUAAAAGAAAAGGAAAAGAAAAUCCAAAAAGAUUUUACAUAUGUUUCAUCAUUUUUUCAAAACAAAAGACAAAAAUAUUUUUUCUCUAAAUUAGUUGUUAUUUUAUUUCUCGCUCGUAUCCAAUUUGCCCGAACUACGCGAACCUGAUUCUCGUCUCUCGGGGCGGGAUACGUAGGCAACCCACAUAAGGUCUGAUUUUCCUAAUAAAUCUCAAGUUCUUGGCUUUGCGGGGUCUUAGCCAAAUUCUUGCAUUUUAGCCAUUUUUAACCACAUAGGUUAAUUUUAGAAAAAUAGUCACAAUCAUGUCUUGCAGGAAGGGCUAUUGUCUCACAUAACGUUCUAGGUCUUUAACUUAUUUGGUUUUAAUUUUCUCAUAUAGGUGUGGAUUUACUUACUGGAGUUUGAGCAUGAUAGACGCCCUACGACCAUCCAGUCAGGAUCGAUCAUUCAGGAGUUUGGUUAAGGAGAUUUUUUUUAGUUAUUAUGUUUUGAGUCUAUUGUUUUUUUUAUGUCAUCUUUUACCUUUUAAUUUUGUACAGUAAUAUCGAGUCUUUUAUUAUUGUAUUUCCUAUUUUGCGUUUUAUAUUUCUGUUAGAUGUUUUCGUUAUAAC